UUUUGAUGAGAAAAUGCGUGAUUUUCCAAAUAAUUGGGGAUUUUUGAAGGGAAAAUGGGUGAUUUUCGGAUUAAAUGGGGGAUUUUUGAAGGGAAAAUGGGUGAUUUUCCCUUAAAU
rnacentral:lncRNA from 7 species